GCUGGAGUGGUGGAAUCUGGUAGACACGCUAUCUUGAGGGGGUAGUGCCUAUCCGGGCGUGCGGGUUCAAGUCCCGCCUCCAGCA
rnacentral:tRNA from 1 species